GAUGAACGCUGGCGGCGUGCCUAAUACAUGCAAGUCGAGCGAACAGACGAGGAGCUUGCUCCUCUGACGUUAGCGGCGGACGGGUGAGUAACACGUGGAUAACCUACCUAUAAGACUGGGAUAACUUCGGGAAACCGGAGCUAAUACCGGAUAAUAUAUUGAACCGCAUGGUUCAAUAGUGAAAGACGGUUUUGCUGUCACUUAUAGAUGGAUCCGCGCCGCAUUAGCUAGUUGGUAAGGUAACGGCUUACCAAGGCAACGAUGCGUAGCCGACCUGAGAGGGUGAUCAGCCACACUGGAACGGAGACACGGUCCAGACUCCUACGGGAGGCAGCAGUAGGGAAUCUUCCGCAAUGGGCGAAAUCUUGACGGAGCAACGCCGCGUGAGUGAUGAAGGUCUUCGGAUCGUAAAACUCUGUUAUUAGGGAAGAACAAAUGUGUAAGUAACUAUGCACGUCUUGACGGUACCUAAUCAGAAAGCCACGGCUAACUACGUG
rnacentral:rRNA from 1 species